rnacentral:ncRNA from 1 species
UUAAAAUUUAAAGCGCCAGGACUUACCUUUGGUAAGUUGACGAGGAUAGGGAGUAUCGAAUCUUCGGCGGGUGCCCUACGGUAUCGCACUACCGAUAGAGGCUGAUAAAAGCAGGAAGCGAUUCCUGUCACAACAUCAGCCGGGUGACGGCA